GGGCGGUUAGCUCAGCGGUAGAGCACUGCCUUCACACGGCAGGGGUCAGUGGUUCGAUCCCACUACCGCCCACCA
rnacentral:tRNA from 8 species